rnacentral:rRNA from 1 species
GACUGUGGGGGGAGAGAAAAAUAUGACGCGCGGCGGAACUAUUCCCANAAGCCUUUCUGAUGGUUAACUCUGGACCCCUGACAGGUUGCUUUCGGGCAGGGCCCCCGUUCGUUUAAAGGCUUGAACCCGCUUGGGAGUGAAACCCGGCNUCAAAUGCCGGGGCGUUUGCCUUCUUGGCCCAGGUGGUUCUGCCCGGANUAAGCCCUAAAUCUUCCCUUAACUCUGGGAUUCAAUCAUGAUUUAACAAUGUCUAAGUGAUUUAAUUCAAAUUAAAAAGCAAAAACUUUCAACAACGGAUCUCUUGGUUCUGGCAUCGAUGAAGAACGCAGCGAAAUGCGAUAAGUAAUGCGAAUUGCAGAAUUCCAGUGAGUCAUCGAAUCUUUGAACGCACAUUGCGCCCUUUUGGUACUUCCGAAGGGCAUGCCUGUUCGGAGCGUUCCAUUAUCACCCCCCUUCAAAGCCCCCUGUGCCUUGGGUGGUUUGGGAACGGGCUUGGGUGGAGUUAAGGUUUCACCACUUUCCACCCCUCCUUAAAGACAAUUGACGGCGGGCCUGCGGAACCCCCGGUUAACAACUGAAGCUUCUUAACUUGAGCACGUUAUCGGAUGCAAGGGCGCCCGGGACCCGGUCUUCUCACUCUUCCCGUGGAACAGCAUCCUUGUUUGAAUGUAUAACUGUUGCUCUCAAAGCAG